rnacentral:rRNA from 1 species
UUGGAGGGCAAGUCUGGUGCCAGCAGCCGCGGUAAUUCCAGCUCCAAUAGCGUAUAUUAAAGUUGUUGCAGUUAAAAAGCUCGUAGUUGAAUUUCGGGGUUAGUAGGUUGGUCAUGCCUCUGGUAUGUACUGGUCUCACUGAUUCCUCCUUCCUGAUGAGCCGUAAUGCCAUUAAUUUGGUGUUGCGGGGAAUUUGGACUGUUACUUUGAAAAAAUUAGAGUGUUUAAAGCAAGCUAACGCUUGAAUACAUUAGCAUGGAAUAAUGAAAUAGGACGUUCGAUCCUAUUUUGUUGGUUUCUAGGAUUGACGUAAUGAUUAAUAGGGAUAGUUGGGGGCAUUAGUAUUCAAUUGUCGGAGGUGAAAUUCUUGGAUUUAUUGAAGACUAACUACUGCGAAAGCAUUUGCCAAGGAUGUUUUCAUUAAUCAAGAACGAAAGUUAGGGGAUCGAAGACGAUCAGAUACCGUCGUAGUCUUAACCAUAAACUAUGCCGACUAGGGAUCGGAUGAUGUUAAUUUUUUAAUGACUCAUUCGGCGCCUUACGGGAAAC